GUUAUGCUGCUUUUCCGCAAUUUCAGCCCGUGCAUGUUGGUGGAAGCACUCUAUGUAGAAGUCCAGUCUGUCGUUUUGACUUUCAGGAGGAGUCCACGCAAGGUUCAUUUAUGGUGAUUUAAUAAAAAAAGAACCUUCAGAUAAACUUCACUGCUCUUAGGAGGGACAUCUGGUGACUAGGGAUUACAUUCCUGUCAUCGGCUAUGCCUAUCAACACUCAUUUUGUAUGGAAUCCAUGAGGUCUGAAUCGUUGUUCAUAUCACAAAAACUGGCAUUACAGUGGUACUAACUGUCACUCCCUGUUGGCAAUCACAUCAGAGCGGACAAAGAAUUAAUCCUUUUUAGAUAUGAACAAAUACUUUUCUCUCUAUCAAAGCUGGUAAAAAUUUCAGGAGGACAGCUGAAGCACCACAAGAAAAGUCAUUCAUGUAAUAUUUCAGCACUUCUGCAACGAUAUGUCCAUUUAAGGCCACCAUGCCAUAACCAGGAGCUCCAGCACUGCCAGCUCUUAGAGUCUAAAGAGGUGGUUGCAUCCUUGAAGAUCUUACAAUCUAAAUUCAGAUCUGAUUCAUGGGCGAGUUUGAUUAACAAUGGAGGAGUCACAGAGAAAGGACAAAGAUUGCAGUCAGAGAGAUC